CGAGCGGCGGGAGGGGCCGGGCCGCUUCCUGCGGGGGCAGCACGCCCGCCGCCGAGCGACGCCCGCGGGAAGUGGCGGCCGCGGUGGUGCGCGGCGCUGCGCGGAGGGGCGCGCUCACGGCCGCACCUCCCUCCGCCCGCCCCCGUCUCCGCCCUUCUUGGCGUUCCUCUCUUCUUUCUUAUUUGGGGAUCGUCAUGUGAACGUGAUUAAGUUGCGGAUGUUUUCCCCGCGCCGCGGGUCGUCCCCGCACCGGGAAGGGGUGCAAACGCGGUGACCCUCCGCCUCGGGAGCGUCUCUUACCCGCUCUCCCCAUCUUUUCCCAUCCGUUUUCGCGCAGGACGGCUGGAGGGCUUUGGAGGGGCGGUGGGAGAAGCCCCUUUUCCCAACGGCGCGUCGAACGGGAGGGGAUGUGCCCACGUGCCUCCACCGCCCCCUGUCCGGCGGUCGCGGCGCCCGAGCUCUCGGGGUGGGCGGCGCACGAAGCGGACAAACGGAGCCGAGAACGCCCAGGGCUCCGCGCCUUCCCGCAGCGCGGCCGCAGGGCCCAGGGCUGUCGGUCCUGUCCCAUCUGGGCUGUGUGGGGGGAGGGGAGCCCUAGGGGGAAGCGGGGCCCUGGCACGCCGCCGCUUCCCCGGUUCGGUCCGGUCCGGUCCUGCCGGGAGACGGCAGCCGCCGCGGGGAGCGCCGCCCCACCCCUGGAGGAAGCUUUGCCCGCGCGUUGCCAAACACGAGAGUUCAGAAUAGGACCGUGCAUCUCCUCUGCCCUCCAUCGGGCUCUUUUUUAACUGUGGGAAGAGAAAGGGAGAAAGAAGCUUUAAUAUUCCCAAAUUCCACCCACUGAAAACCCACAGCAGGGGAAACGGCUCUGAGAUAGCGCAACCUCUGACCCACCCUCUCUUAUCGCCGUGGGAAUGCUCUGCUUGGGCGGCUGAAGGUGUAAAGCUGCAUCUCCGCGAUUUUGCCCCGGGUGGGGAUGCUCGGAGCUGCGGGGGUUCGGCAGAGAGCCGCUGGAGCGGGAGUUCCGGGGGCCGUGGCAGAAGGUUGCCCGGUGUGCUCGUCUCCUUGUAGGUGGGAAACGAGCGAGGCACGGCACAGAGGGACUGCGGCUCCUCGGGCGGCACAGACGGCUGCGGGGGGCACAGGUGGGCACCGCCGUACCCUGACGUGGGCUGCAGCACCCCGCGGGCGCUGAGGGCAGUAAUAGCUGCGGGUACGAAUCGUCGUCUGAUCGCAGCUCUCACAGAGAGCUGAGCAAAGGAACGCCGUGGGGAAGGCUGUGGUUUUGCUUUCGCCGUACGGAGACGGCUGUACCGCUGCUAUGGCACAGGUAACCCUGCAGCAGGGGCGCCUCGCCGCCCACUAACAGCUGGCAGCAUUUAACGCAGGGCUGGCAAACCGAGGCUCCGUUAGGCGAGGAGCUCUCUCCGUCCUGCCCGUCCUCAUGGUGCUUAUUUCCAUUUAUACAAAACACGUUAGCGAAGCUGAUGGGGAUUCUGCACUACUUCUGUUCUGGAGAGGAAAAUCCUCUGUUGUUGUCUAAUCUCAUUUCUACACCUGCCAAUUUCCCUCACCCUCUUCCUGUCCUCCUCACCCUCGUCAGAGCACUCAUUAAUACACAGCUGCCUCAGCCACGCCACGUCCACCGAAAAUGUGCAUUGAAUUAAAUGCUGUGCUUCCACCCUAUCUAACUCAUUGUCUCUGCUGAUCAUGUCAUUAAUUAGUAGAGUUAUUAGCUAGUUGUGAAUGUGGGGCUCCCAGUUGUUUGGUCUCUUUAAAACUACAAGUUAGCAAUAUUUAAAUGUGAUUGUGUCUUUAAUUACAUAGAAAUAAACCUCCAUGAUUCCAAACACUUAAUCUGCCUAUUUUAGGAAUCCGUAUGGCUGCUUAUCCCGAUAGCAGAGCAUCUUCCAUGAGAAAUCGGCCUUUUAAAGCACAUCAAAUUAUGCUCCAGAUUACAGUCACUUUAAUGUGUGUGUAUAUAUAUAUAUAUAGGCCAAAGAGCACAGAGAAAUGUGGGACUUGCCCAAGGUAUCCAGCCCUGCGUUUGUCAGAGAAAAAUCCUGCGGGAGAUCCAGUGCCCAUUUCCUCCACUGAGCUGUUAUCUACACUGAUACAAUUAAAGCCCAAAUAUUUGUGGUUCUGAGGGAUUGUUUGACAAAGAUUUCUUUACUGUUAGGAAACAAUCCUCUGGUAAGAUGCUGAGAGGAAUAUUUUCCAGAAAUGAUUUUCCACCCUAUUAUCUGGGCUGAGUAUUGCAGGGCAAUGCUCCUAGUGGAGCAAUAAAGGGUUUGAAUCUCCCAUACACACUUCUCAUCAUUAUUUUUUUUUUUGUUGUUGUUGUUCAGGAAGGAAAAAAAAAAAAAAAGGCACCAUUGAACCUCUGCUGCCUGCAAUAGACCAACGCCCCCCAAUUCCCCUCCCAUGCCACCCCUGUGCAGGUCCAAAGAUAACAGCUUUCAGCUGUCUCUGCGGGGGAGAGGGGCUCAAAACCGUUGGAACUCAAAAACACUUUAAUUAUUAAUAAAUAUAUUUACAGGAGAACAGUUUCCCUUUAGGGGAAACACGAGGUACUUGUGCAAUUACUCAGGUUCUACUGACUCAACACUGACAAAAACGGGAUCCGAGUGCUUUAACACAGGGAGCAUAAAUGCCUAUAAAUGUGGUGAGGUUUUCCUGCAGGGUAACUGCCCGUGGAUCUGGAGGAGAGCUGCACAUGGUGAGCAGGGUCAGAUACAGCAGCUAAGAGCUGAGCUGAGCCCAGGACGGGCACACGGGGACCGCUCGGGUCAGGAUGUGCUCUGCUCUGGGCCAGGCAGUGCUCGGUUCUGCUGAGCUCCCUCCUGCUGUGCCUCUGAAUGGGUCUUUGGUUCAUUUUCAAAACGACAGCAGGUAGGAGAAGACAGGGCAGAUUCACCAACAUUCAGCAGACACUUGUUUUGAGUCCCUUUUGGUCACUCGCUUUAUGUUAUGCUAUAAUGCUAUAAUGUGAUGGAAAGUACAACAGAAACAGCAGAGUCACACCACCCUAGGCUACAGCAAAUGGGGACAAUCCUAAAUACAGCAACAACAGAUAGAAAAACAAAGGAAGUAAAACUGCUUACCUUUAGAAGGCCUCAGAUAUACAGGAAUCUCCAGUGAUCCACCUCCACUGCCAACCCUUAAAUGAGAUCUGGGAAGGGGUGGAUCCUGGCUCUAUCCCUUCCCGUCACUCAGGUACACUGCAUGCACCUGAGCUCCCUGGGUUGGCCCUGCCUUCCGCCAGGAGCUCAAUCACUGCUUCAGGCUGUGACUUAGUGUUUCCACUACACUUUUCCACUACACUUUUUUUCCCACAGAGCACAUACACUGCUCUCACCCCAAAGGCUGCAAGAGAAGCCAAGGUGAGGCCAGGGCCUGUGGGCAAGGCAGGGCUGCCCUGGUGCCAUGCACCAAGGGAACUAAAGGGGGUCAGAGAUGCACUUAGACAUAGAACUCACUGCCUGCUCUAGAACAGCCCUAAUCACCACACUUACCUGAUGCUCACCAGUCCUGCCUGCCUUGUCAGCCUGGUGUUAGUGCCUGCUGGCACUGAGCUGGAUGCAGAAGCAGAGUGUUCAGACACACCUCGGGGCUCUCAGAAACCACAAAGAGUGUGGAAACAAACUGGCUGGCAAUCCUCAGUGUGUUUUUGGAUGAGCAUGGACUGAGCCCGUUUCUUUGUUACUGAUCUAUAUUGCAGGCACUGUAUUGCAGCUCAUGUAUGUUAGACCACCAUUACUAUUGACUUGGUACAUGGGGGUUCUGCUAGGUGCUCAGCAGAAAGAUUCAGGCACGGUCUUUACCCAAACAUCCUUUCAGCACAAGCAGUGGUGAGAGCUGAGACUUGGAAUGGCACUCCUGUGCUCUGUUGCCACUGCGCCAUCAGCUGCCAGCCCAAGUGAGGGCAGGAGGGAUUUAUGGGAUGCACUGUGCCUUCUGAGCAGAAUCACACUUUUUUCCUCAACCUUCUUUGUUUUCAAAGAUGAACCUUUCCCAGAGUAAUAUAGAGCUGAGUACGUAACACAGCCAUAACCUUGUCGGCAGCGUGGCGGCUGGCGCGCAUCAUGAGGGAUUUGCCUCCAGAGAGAGCUGUGCACAGAGCCUGGAGCACAAGGAGGUCCCCCUGGGCUGUGCUGGGAAUCAACACUCGCACUGUGAGCAGAAUGGAGUUUUGGUUGCACAGGUGAGGCUGUCCAUCAAGAUGCAGAAGUCCCAGGCUCCUCCCUCCUGCAGGUCCACGUGCAAUGUGCUGCUUGCCUUCUGUCAUUUCUCUGAAGGCUCAGAACUGUGCUCACUGCCCGCAUGCAGCAUCUGAUGCACGGACUCAGAUGUGAACAAUCCAAACCAUUUAUUACAAGUUCUCAUAUCACUUAUAUACUUUCACAGGUUUUCUUUUUCUAGCUUUCCCAUCCACACCUACAACUUUCUCAUUCACCUUUACUUGUCAACAAAGCAUUCUACCAACACUCUUCAACUGUUCAUGUGGGCACUUACCCAAUCAGAGCCGUGAGCUGUUCUUUCUUCUUCUAGAGAUGUCCUUGGUUCUCAUGAUGUUUAUCUUGCUACACAGCUGCUACUCUGAACAAAUUUUCUUGUAUGCCCACAUCCGCAGUUCACACCCACUUUGGCUGGAGAUACGGCCAUGUGCCCAAACGCACUUCCAGCUGUGCCCCGCGAGAGGUUUCGCUGUGGCUGGCAGUGGUGAUAGUGGUGACGCCCCUCCGACCUCAGCCUCACCCCCUUGCCCGCCCCUCGUCAUCGCGGGCCGCUGCCGUCGGAGCCAGCCCAGGGGCACGGGCGCUGCUCGGCUCAGAGCAGCCGGGGGCAGCCCCGGUGUUGGCAGCCCCCGCCUGGAGCGGCGGCAGUGCCGAACCGCCAGCCCAGCCCUGCUACUUCCGACCGAGUUCCAGCAGCGUGGGAUGCAGCGCUUGGCUCUCAGCAGAGAAAGCGAGCGCAACGUAAAGCAGAGCAUCCCCGCGUGGGAUUCGCGGUGAGGGCUGGGCUGACUGCUCCAAACAAAGCGCGGCAGCGCCGGGAUCGGGCCUCGUUUGUACGCGGAACUGGUGGUGCCAACCCUGCCCUCUCUGCCCAGCAGCCUCUGCCAGCGCCCGCAGGAAGCCUUUCCUUCUGAAGGCAGAGGAUCGUGCCGCGCUGCUCGCAGUAUGCUAACUUCGCAGCGAGCGGUUGCUCAAUACGUGCUCAGGCAGACAGGCCACCGCUAUCAGUUAACGAAAACAAAAGGGAAGGGAGGAAGGCUUACAACACAACAAUCGCUUUCAAUUAGAGGAAAUAUCUGUUGCCAAAAUAUGUCAACGGGAUUUGACAGACUGCAUUUCUAACUGUGUACUACUGAAGGGCCGGCUGCACAAAAAUGCAGCUUAAACUUAAUAGGGAUUUAAAUCCUUCCGCUCUUUCCCACAGUGUAACCAUCAGGCUGUAAAUUCAUUACUUCAGGCUGCACUCCACUUUGUUAAUUCAAAGAAAUCUGACUUACCUCAGUAGCUUCAGUGCUGUUCUCUCCCACACUUGCAGACCUUCUUCAGGAUUCAGCGUUGAUGCUCAUUACGUGCUUUUAAAUGAAAGGACUGAAAAAGUGUUUAACUGAACAGAUACCAUUUGCUUUGCACACCUCAGUACAAACCCAGGCAUUUUGAUUAAAAUCUCACAUUGCUUUAAGGGAUGUACCAUGUCACUGAGCUCUGAGUCAACUCCAUGUGCUGUGCCCAAUGCCCCACACCUCUGCUCUACACUGUGCAUCAUGGAACGGACCCCAGAGAAUGCCACCUGGCCCUGCAGCCCUGCCAGCAGCAGAGCCCACAGCCUGGUGGCACCACGCAGCUGCAGCAGGCCCUGCACUGAGCUCAGCACAGCCAUCGUUGCACCACUACCCAGCAGCGGCUGUAGGGCCCAGGGCUGUGUGAAUCCAAAUGCUCCUGUGAGUUCAGCUCCAGCUUCCUGUCAUAAGUUGUUCUAGCUGUGGGUUAGGCCCCCAGCCCUUGCCAGUCCAGCCCCAGACACAGUCCCAUAGCUCCUGCACCCAGCCGUAACAUUGCUCACUGCUCUGCUAGCCUGACCCUCAGUCCCCUCUCAUCAGCCUGCCCCAGCUGGGAGCCCUAUUCAGAUCACCCCCAGCAUCACCUAAGUAACUCACCCCGUCAGUGAAUAUCACAGCUUGAUAUAAACUGGGCUCAUCAUCACCUCUAACCCUGAUCCUGCCAGGGCCCUGCUGGCAUUACCUCCAACCUGGGCCACAACCUCCACUACCCUAACCUUCACCCAGUGCUGUGCCUGAGAUCCCCACCAGCCAAGCACCAUCUGCCAGACCCUGCCCUGCACACUGCGUGGACUCAAACUCUGCCCAGAAUGUGCCCAUGCCACCUCAUACGAGGGCAAACACUCAGCUGUUGGAAAAGGUCUUCGUUCUCCAUGGGGGCUGAUCAGGUCCUGCAGUCCUCUCACUGUGGCCUGGUGCUGGAAUAGAGACAUGGGGUAUUUCAUUAACAAGCAUAGUUACAAAUCACUCAUCGCUACUCUUUACUAGGGAACCCAAAUCACUCCCAUACCUGUAUCGUGCAGAGGCCUACUCUCUGCAACUUUGAGAUCACUCUGUGGCACGUGGAGUCCAGCAGCGUGUUCUGCAUUGAUGCUGAUAGCUGUCUGUCAUUAUAGCGUCACCAGUGGGGUGUCAUGUGGUGUUGUAUAUUUUUGGACAUAACGUAAGCAGUGCAAUCUCAUUCUUGAAAUUUCCCUGGUGGCCCCAGCAGUCUCAGAGGUUUACACAUUUCUUACGUGCAGUCAACACAUUCAUUAAUCUUAAAGAUAAGCUGAUAUGUAGAAGUCUCACACAUACGUAAUAUACACAUUUACACCUAAAAAAACAAACCAAAACAACAACAACAACAAAAAAAGAUAGACGCAAGUACACAUUUAAAGUGUCAGCAAGUCCUGUGGUGGACCAGUCAUAGCAUUUUGGCUUUGUAGCAGAAAAGCUCUAAGACAAAGAGCUCUCAGGCAGUUCAGGCUGCAGAGAGACAGCAUCCAGUAUGCAUGCCCACAUGCACAGAGAUGUAUUUGUGGGUGAACUCACUACAAAAAUUAAUCUUGUAAAAUAUGCAUUGUUUGAAAAUGGCAUAGCAAUAGAAACAUCCACACGACUCUUUAUAAUAACAAUGAAAACAGCUUUGUUUUUUGCUUACUGGGGUAGUGUGGCAGAAUGGGCACCUUACUGCUUCACCCACCAGCAACUGCAGCUCCGAACAUGCACAGAAAGAGUGGUACAGCAAAGAGAUGGGGCAACCUGCUGGUACAGCUGGGAAAUGAAAAAGGAGAGGCAAACACACAGCCUGAAUAAUUAAAAUCACCUUUCAAAACUCACUCUUCUUUAAAAUAUAAACACCAUACAGAUAGAAACUGGAGUAUUUCUGUCACCUGAACGUCAGCUACUCCAUCUUUCCAGCUAAACAGUGAUCUUUCUGCUAUUUCACAUCCACAUAUCCCAUUGUACACAGGCAUAUUUCAGGGGCUGUGGUUGCCACGGGACACCCCUUUCUCAGCAUUUCUACCCCCAGAAGAGCAGAAUGAAUCACACAAACAGCACUGCCAUUCAACCUGAGCUUAGCGCAAAUGAUGUAGCUACUUACAUUGCAGUACAGAGCAGUGGCUUUAUUACAUUGCAGCUUGCCUACUGCUGGGAAGGUUACUUUAAACGGCAACAACCCUUAACUUCACAGAGUUCACCUGAAGUGAUCGCCCUAGUUACUGGGAAAGCUCAUCGUUACUAACGAGCUGCAGGUGCCAGCUCUGUGCUGGAGGUGGCAGCACCUGGUGCGGGUAGUAUGGAUCUUUGUUCUCCAGCACCGGCACAAACCCAUUUUUCUGAUGCCUUCGGGCCAGGUUUGGGCUCUGGCAGCUUCUGUGUCCCCCUGCAGCACUGCAGCACAGCCAGCGGCAUAGCACCGACCGGGCAGGAUGCGCCCUCACUCCUCCUGGAGCCUCAGCCAGCAGCUGGCAGGGAGGGCUGGGGCAGGAACGUCCAGCCUUGCUCCCACCUUGGGAACCGUUGGCACACAAGAGUUAGUGAAAGCUUUGGGCCGGAUCUCAGAGCAGUGUGAGCAGCACCCAUGGCAGCUGGCACAUCUUAGGCUUCCACUCAUAGCCCACAGAGGUGCUCAGGACAAAGCGAAGCACUGAGGUCUCCAUAACCUGAAAUCCAACCUCAUAAUCUCCUUAUCUCCCUCUCGGCGCUCUCUGUCCUCACAGAGACUGGCUUGUCACAGAGGGCAGGCUCCUUUAACCCACUUAAUAGUACUUUUCACCUUCGGGGUCUUUUUGUGCACUGGGCUUAUCUUUCCAUCAAUGUUGUUCUUCUAAAUGAUGUCUAUUUAAGCCUGGGUUAAAAAAAAAAAAAAAAAAAAAAAAAAAAAAGAACCAAAGAACCUUGCUUCUGGUUUCAAUCAAAGCUGUCAAUCAAUUGCCCCGCUGAGCCCAGCCUUGUGGAGCAGCAUCUGGCUUCCUCUGCACAGCAUUCAAGGAAGGAAUCUGGGGGCCAGACCUUAUGUCGGGGACCUACAGGCCACUGACCGAAGAAUGAUCCUGGGAUGGAACAAAGUAUUCUGAUGGUUCUAAGGGAAGUGUUUGUGGCUGUAGACACAAAUGCCUUGUUUUGUAGAGAAAGCUGACUUCGGUAGUUUAUCUUGUUUCGUAAUAACUUGUUUUGCAAGCAGGUGUUCCACUUGGGCUCUGUACCAUGCACUGGUCACGCGGGUACAGCGUGCAAUGAAACAAACCCUGCAGACCUUGGAGAGAAUCAAAGCAGGAGAGCAGCUGCAGUGGAGAGAGAGGAAAAGUGCCCUUUGAAGCAGGGGAUGCCCUGCUUGCACUGCCUAUUGCAUCCACCGCCGGCAUGGUCCUUCUCCUGCUCCUGCUCGGUGUUUCACCGUCUCUCAAGGGUUGGUAAAUAGCAGUGCACUUGCUUUGGAGUUUCUGCUUGUAAUUUACUAGGGUUAUCUAAGCGGAGGUCUGUGUGUGUCUAAUAAAACUCGUAACCCUC